GGGGCCUUGGCGCAACGGUAGCGCGUCUGACUCCAGAUCAGAAGGUUGUCGGUUCAAAUCCGGCAGGCCUCA